rnacentral:rRNA from 1 species
AACGAACGCUGGCGGCAGGCCUAAUACAUGCAAGUCGAACGCUCGUAGCAAUACGAGAGUGGCAGACGGGUGAGUAACACGUGGGAACCUUCCCUAUGGUUCGGAAUAGCUCAGGGAAACUUGAGGUAAUACCGGAUAAGCCCUUACGGGGAAAGAUUUAUCGCCAUUGGAUGGGCCCGCGUCGGAUUAGCUAGUUGGUGGGUAACGGCCUACCAAGGCGACGAUCCGUAGCUGGUCUGAGAGGAUGAUCAGCCACACUGGGACUGAGACACGGCCCAGACUCCUACGGGAGGCAGCAGUAGGGAAUAUUGGACAAUGGGCGCAAGCCUGAUCCAGCCAUGCCGCGUGAGUGACGAAGGCC